rnacentral:rRNA from 1 species
UACGGGGGGAGCAAGCGUUGUUCGGAUUUACUGGGCGUAAAGGGCGCGUAGGCGGCCACGACAAGUCACUUGUGAAAUCUCCGGGCUUAACUCGGAACGGUCAAGUGAUACUGUCGGGCUAGAGUGCAGAAGGGGCAACUGGAAUUCUCGGUGUAGCGGUGAAAUGCGUAGAUAUCGAGAGGAACACCUGCGGCGAAGGCGGCUAGCUGGCCUGUAACUGACGCUGAGGCGCGAAGGCUAGGGGAGCGAACAGG